rnacentral:rRNA from 1 species
AUUGAACGCUAGCGGCAUGCCUUACACAUGCAAGUCGAACGGCAGCACGGGGGCAACCCUGGUGGCGAGUGGCGAACGGGUGAGUAAUGCAUCGGAACGUGCCCAUCGAUGGGGGAUAACUGCGCGAAAGCGUUGCUAAUACCGCAUACGACCUACGGGUGAAAGCAGGGGACCGCAAGGCCUUGCGUCGAUGGAGCGGCCGAUGCCGGAUUAGCUAGUUGGUGAGGUAAAGGCUCACCAAGGCGACGAUCCCGUAGCUGGUCUGAGAGGACGACCAGCCACACUGGGACUGAGACACGGCCCAGACUCCUACGGGAGGCAGCAGUGGGGAGUCUUGGACAAUGGGCGAAAGCCUGAUCCAGCAAUGCCGCGUGUGGGAAGAAGGCCUUCGGGUUGUAAACCACUUUUGGCGGGAAAGAAAUGGUCUGUGCUAAUACCACGGAUUGAUGACGGUACCCGCAGAAUAAGCACCGGCUAACUACGUG